ensembl:lncRNA
UAAAGCUGAAAUAAAAUUACAAUAUUUUUUUAUAUAUAUAAAACCUUGAACUAAAAAACACUUGAUGAAAAUUAGAAAUGGCAACUAAAUGAGAUAAGUUUGGGUUGAAGUUCAAAACGAAUAAACUGAAAUAAACAACAACAAAAAGGGCAUAAAAAUCACUAAAAUAAUUAACUAAAAUUAAAUGAAAACUGAAAACAAAAAACAGGCCUGGAGGCUAAUCAAAAAUAUAUACACAAAACACAGUCUUUACAUGCGACGUGACAAAUCAAUCAUUUAUGUUUUGUCAUAGUUUAUCUUUGGCUGCAUUUAAUUGAUUUUUUUAAUAUUUUUGAUUUAAAAAAAAAAAAUUACAUUGGUGGAUGUGUUUGGGGGGGGGAUUUGGCUAUUGAAUAUGUAACAUUUUAAUUCUGCUCAACUGAAAGAAAUGACUUGAAUAAAGAUUAGUUCAUUUAGCUGAAUGAGAGCAGAUGAGUGAAUCAAUAAAAUCAUCCAAUCUUCCCAUCGCUAUAUUUUCUAGCUGUGACCACUGAUCUAUAAUAUAGAAUAUAUAUAUAUAUAUAGAUCAGUGGCUGUGACUGACCAAGCAGGGAACUUUUUCUUCAACGGUGCGUAUAAAGUGGACACCCCUCAGAACUUCCACGCAGCAGGGACAAAUACCAUUUUCAAAUACCGGCGGCCUACUGAUGUGCAUGAGACGGGGAUCGAGUACAUUGUGGCAAAAGGGCCCAUCGAUCAGCCCAUCAAUGUUCUGGUACUGUAGCCGUGGUCCUCUCUUCGCCGCCAAAGGCUUAUGGGUAAUCUCACUGGCUGGCUAACCAUGGCUUUGACUUAGUGCAGGCCAAAGGUCUAAUGGUUCACUCUGCGUAAAUGGGGAACUGCAGCUGGAGUGGAGUAGGAGCCCCUGGUGUAGGACCCGCGAGCAGACCUGCGGAGGACAUAGGAAACUCUGAAAACCUCAUCUGGAGAAUGCUGCUGGGAGAGCGGAUUGGCUCCAAUGGUGUUCUUCCCAACAUCUCAACCAAUCAGCUUCUUACUCGAAGAGAUGGCUUUUUCUCUGAAGGCCCAUGGUGUUAGACUACAGCAGUCUUGAGCAAGCGGGUCUUAAUGGCUCACUGCUUGAGGUCACCAUCGGGCAUCGGCGAAAUGACACAGGGGACGUCCUGCUCCUAAACAGAACUGCUACUUCCUUUUCACGCAAUUGCAGCAAUCGCACCAGGUAAACAUGAUCAUGUACAUUACCAUAUUUGUUUUGUCUCUUAUGCUUACAAAAACACAGUACAUUUUCUGAAAUACCAUUACAAUACAAAAUAACCAUUUUCUAUUUUCAUAUUUUAUAAAAUUAAAUGUAUUCCUGUGAUGGCAAAGCAGAAUUUUCAAAAGUCAUUAUUCCAGUCUUCACUGUCACACGAUCCUUCAGAAAUCUUUGGUGCUCAAGAAACAGUUAUUUUUAUAAUCAAUGUUGACAACAAUGUUUAUAGUGCUGCCUAAUAUUUUUUUUAGAAACUGUGAUAUUUAUUUCAGUGUCCUUUGAUUAAAAAAUAAAUAAAUAAUUGCACAUCAAUUUAAUGCAUACUUGCUGAAUAAAAGUAUUCAUUUUCGACCCCAAACUUUUGAACUUGAAUUUUUAUAAUAAUCAUUUUAUUUGUAAUAUUUUAAUAAUUCCAUAUAUAUAUAUAUAUAUAUAUAUAUAUAUAUAUAUAUAUAUAUAUAUAUAUAAAAAGAAAACACCCAAUAGGCUUUACUCAUAUUACAGACAUGAAGCAUGAUUUGCUACUUUCUGAUCAGUGGUGUUAUGAGAGACGCUUUCUCAUUCUAGAGGGCAUUUGAUUGGAUACGAUUCUGUGCAUGAUCUUGAGGUUAGAAUUGGAGUUUUGAUGACUCAUCCUGCAAAGUCUUCCAUGCACUGAACCAGUGGAUAU